rnacentral:rRNA from 1 species
GACGAACGCUGGCGGCGUGCUUAACACAUGCAAGUCGAACGGAAAGGCCCUGCUUUCGUGGGGUGCUCGAGUGGCGAACGGGUGAGUAACACGUGAGUAACCUGCCCUUGACUUUGGGAUAACUUCAGGAAACUGGGGCUAAUACCGGAUAGGAGCUCCUGCUGCAUGGUGGGGGUUGGAAAGUUUCGGCGGUUGGGGAUGGACUCGCGGCUUAUCAGCUUGUUGGUGGGGUAGUGGCUUACCAAGGCUUUGACGGGUAGCCGGCCUGGGAGGGUGGCCGGCCACAUGGGGACUGAGAGACGGCCCAGACUCCAACGGGAGGCAGCAGUGGGAAAUAUUACACAAUGGGCGGAAGCCUGAUGCAGCAACGCCGCGUGCGGGAUGACGGCCUUCGGGUUGUAAACCGCUGUCGCCUGUGACGAAGCGUGAGUGACGGUAAUGGGUAAAGAAGCACCGGCUAACUACGUG